UACAGAGGUCUCAAGCGUUGUUCGGAUUCAUUGGGCGUAAAGGGUGCGUAGGCGGCGGGGUAAGUCAGGUGUGAAAUCUCGGGGCUCAACUCCGAAACUGCAUUUGAUACUGCCUUGCUAGAGUACUGGAGAGGAGAUUGGAAUUUACGGUGUAGCAGUGAAAUGCGUAGAUAUCGUAAGGAAGACCAGUGGCGAAGGCGAAUCUCUGGACAGUUACUGACGCUGAGGCACGAAGGCCAGGGGAGCGAACAGG
rnacentral:rRNA from 1 species